CUCUUCUUUCCAUAUCCACCCACUUUCUGGAUUAUUCUCUCCCCCCUCUCCUAUCAAAUCUUAUUUUUCUAUUUUCUCUCUCACGAAAUUUCUCCCGAUUCUUUGUUCUUUCUCUUUUACUCAUUUUUACCGUUCAUGUUAGUCAUUGGGUUUCAAACUGCUUCGAUUUUGUUUUUGAUUUAGUGUUUGUUGUUUUAGAUUUGGCGAUGUUGGCUCACGCGAAAGGGGAAGAUUUGACGGGCAUGGGCAUGGCGUGGCCUUACGAGAUGAACGACGUUCUGCACCGGAAUCCACUGAUUUCCAUAAUCUUCAAGCUACAAAUCUAGAUCUAGUGUGACGGCGAUGAUUGUGGUGGUGUUGGUCGAAACAGGUUUCCGAUGAUGAGUUGGGUAGUGGUGGAAAUGGGUUUCCGGUGACAAGUGUGGUGGUGGUGGUGGUGGAUACGGGUUUCCGGUGACGAGUGUCUUGGUGGUCGGAUUCAAAAAGAUUUGUAUACGACUUUAUCAAUUUAGGUUUUGUUGUUAACUUAUUCUGGUAGAUUUGAUUUGUUUAGGUUUUGAACUUUGGUAAUUGUUGUGCGUUAUUUUUCGUGGUUGAUUCAAUUUUUUAUUGUAUAUGACAACAAUGGUACCAUAUCGACAAACUCCAGUGCGAAGUUAUAAUGAUACACCGUUGGUAGAUCUGAAAUGAACAUGAUGCAGCUGCUAAUGAUUGCAAUUUCA